GAUAUUACUUGCCAAAGAGUUUUGGUCUGGAUUUCUUAUAUUUCAAAAUUGCGUCCCACAGGUCUCCAUAGCGACAUCUUGAAGUCGAUUGAGUGGCUGACGAGAAAAACACAUGGUUCUCUCUGACACUCUAGGGUCUCUGCUCUGCUACUGUCCACCAUUCACCCCCAAAGACCAAGGAGCCAUGGGACCAGAAAUCUAUAUAUUCCUUUGGAAUUCCCAAUUGUGUGACUGUCAGUUCUCCAGGCCUUCACCCCCAUCAACUGAAUUUAGAAGAAGCCUCAGUCAUGGAAAUCAAGCCUUCACGCAUGCCCUAGACUUUCCUGGAGUGAUGCAGGAACCCUCAUUCUGGCUGUGACCUGCCUUCCUGGGCAUCCCCCAGUCUCCCUGCAGUGGUCAAGAUGGACCACACACACUUGGCCCUUUUAAAAGAAGAAUCUGAGCAAUGUUCCCAGGAAGAAAGGUAGCACCUUCCUCUGCCCAGAGCCUCCCCUGAUUAGCGGGUGGAAAUUCCCAGGUGCUGACAUUUCAUGAAGACUUGACAGGAACAUCGCUAUUAAUUCUCGGAAGCAGGCCACAAG